GAUGAACGCUGGCGGCGUGCCUAAUACAUGCAAGUCGAGCGAACAGACGAGGAGCUUGCUCCUCUGACGUUAGCGGCGGACGGGUGAGUAACACGUGGAUAACCUACCUAUAAGACUGGGAUAACUUCGGGAAACCGGAGCUAAUACCGGAUAAUAUAUUGAACCGCAUGGUUCAAUAGUGAAAGACGGUUUUGCUGUCACUUAUAGAUGGAUCCGCGCCGCAUUAGCUAGUUGGUAAGGUAACGGCUUACCAAGGCGACGAUGCGUAGCCGACCUGAGAGGGUGAUCGGCCGCACUGGAACUGAAACGCGGUCCAGACUCCUACGGGAGGCAGCAGUAGGGAAUCUUCCGCAAUGGGCGAAAGCAUGACGGAGCAACGCCGCGUGAGUGAUGAAGGUCUUCGGAUCGUAAAACUCUGUUAUUAGGGAAGAACAAAUGUGUAAGUAACUAUGCACGUCUUGACGGUACCUAAUCAGAAAGCCACGGCUAACUACGUG
rnacentral:rRNA from 1 species